rnacentral:rRNA from 1 species
AUUGAACGCUGGCGGCAGGCCUAACACAUGCAAGUCGAACGCGUGGCGGACGGGUGAGUAAUGUCUGGGAAACUGCCUGAUGGAGGGGGAUAACUACUGGAAACGGUAGCUAAUACCGCAUACCAUCGGAUGUGCACAGGUGGGAUUAGCUAGUAGGUGGGGUAAAGGCUCACCUGGGCGACGAUCCCUAGCUGGUCUGAGAGGAUGACCAGCCACACUGGAACUGAGACACGGUCCAGACUCCUACGGGAGGCAGCAGUGGGGAAUAUUGCACAAUGGGCGCAAGCCUGAUGCAGCCAUGCCGCGUGUGUGAAGAAGGCCUUCGGGUUGUAAAGUACUUUCAGCGGGGAGGCGUUACCUGCAGAAGAAGCACCGGCUAACUCCGGGCCAGCAGCCGCGGUAAUAC